AACAGCCUUAUCUGCCGCCCUAGAGCCUUUUCCCUAUAACAGUGAAAUCAACAAUGACUGUGUCAGGAGAGAUCUUUAACUUAUUAUUUAUUACAAGAUAUUCUAAUGUUUAAAGAGCAAUCCAACAUAAAUGAAGAGCUUACGUUUUUCAAGAGAGCAAAGUCAUUUGUGAAGAAUUCUUUCCAUGCUUCAAACAUAAGAAACAGCAUACACAAUACUGGACAUCACAGGACCCUCUCCGGCUGGAUACCAGGCUGUAGAACCACCAGAUGCUUCAGAUGAGAAAGGUUGGAUCUGUUUCACAGGGAAGGGGCUAAACUGUUUCAAGAGGCGACCACGCGCUGGGCACUCUGACAGUGUCUCGCUCUGUCACCCAGGCUGGAGUGCAGUGGUGUGAUCUCGGUUCACUGCAACCUCAACCUCCUCGGCUCAUGUGGAUCCUCCCACCUCAGCUUCCUAAGUAGCUGAGACUACAGUACUUUGCAACCUACCAAGUAUCAUCACAAGAGCUAUGAAAGUGAAGAGAGACAUACGUUAUCUAAGAAUCUGAGAGAGAUGACUCAGUCAGCAUCCUCUCUCUUGGUGUACAAUGGUAGGGACAGCUACUGUGUCAUCUGGAGCAUGACAAUGAGAACACAGACACUGGAUCGUCCUGAUAUAGCCUGCAGUCCAUCUGGGCCUCUAGACAUUCAUUUGCAUUUGCAUUCAUGCGCAUCCCCUACUACUCCAACUCCUACACCUUUUGGCAGGAUAUAUCCACACAGCUGGAUUGGAAUCACAAGAUGUUUUUAUUUUUUGCCUCAUUAAACUAGUUUCUCUCAAGCA
rnacentral:lncRNA from 1 species